rnacentral:rRNA from 1 species
AGCGAACGCUGGCGGCAGGCUUAACACAUGCAAGUCGAACGGGCAUCUUCGGAUGCUAGAGGCAGACGGGUGAGUAACACGUGGGAACGUACCUUUCGGUUCGGAAUAAUACAGGGAAACUUGUACUAAUACCGGAUACGCCCUUCGGGGGAAAGAUUUAUCGCCGAUAGAUCGGCCCGCGUCUGAUUAGCUAGUUGGUGAGGUAAUGGCUCACCAAGGCGACGAUCAGUAGCUGGUCUGAGAGGAUGAUCAGCCACACUGGGACUGAGACACGGCCCAGACUCCUACGGGAGGCAGCAGUGGGGAAUAUUGGACAAUGGGCGCAAGCCUGAUCCAGCCAUGCCGCGUGUGUGAUGAAGGCCUUAGGGUUGUAAAGCACUUUUGUCCGGGAAGAUAAUGACUGUACCGGAAGAAUAAGCCCCGGCUAACUUCGUGCCAGCCGCCGCGGUAACAC